GGUAGACUCUCCAUCUCGUUCUUCUGGUCCUUUAAUACGAGGGUUUUGGCUGUGAUCACCGCUGGUGUCUCUCCUCCGUUUAACCGGCAUGAGCCAAUCCAAGGACACUAUGUCUGUUAAGCAGAAACGACAAGAAUCAAAUGCACAACAAACUAAGACACCUGAGAGUGAACUAUUAAGUCUUAUCAAAAGUAAACGAGAUAUGGGAAUCUGGAAAGCAGACAUGAAAUGAGAGACGAAUCUUCCUGAACCUGUGGUCAAUAAAGCCCUCAAGGUACUCCAAGGCAAGAAUUGAUAAAAGAGGUCGUUAAAGUCAAAAGCAAGGGGAGAAAACAUUAUAUGGCAACAGAGUUUCAACCCUCGAAGGAAGUUACCGGUGGUUCAUGGUAUGCUGAUGAUGAUCUUGACAUAGAAUGCAUUCAUCACUAGGAAUAAAAUCACCAAGGCUGAUUGCACAAGCCAGCAAAUCGAAGAGAUACUUAGUUCUAUGGUUUUAGACAAUGAGAUUAUUGAGGUUAAGAGCACUGGAUUAGGAGAAUAUCAUUCCAUUCCGAUGAGAACCGAUUGUUAUAGAGCUGCAAGUGGGAUGGGAGGGGCUAAAAUUGGAGCCAUAGGUUCAAUUCCAUGCGGCAUAUGUUCCCGGAUUAAUCAGUGCACACCAGAUAGCAUUAUCUCUCCAAAUACCUGUGUCUACUACGAGAAAUGGUUGAAUUUUUAACUUGAUUUUGUUUGAAUGAUGCGCGUUAGAUCAGAUUUCUAACACUUUGGAGAAUUUAGCUUACUCUUUAUUGUUUAUGAACUGCCCUGUUUGGUUGCUGUUUA